ACUUCAUCCUUUGUGUUCUCCCUCCCAAAUGGCUGUUUACCCCGCAUUAGUCGCCAAUUUCUAAACCCUAGAGGUACUGAAGGAAUAUCUGAGAGGCAGUUGCAGUCAUGACAACACUUGUGACAUCACAGAAGAAGCUUGGGCUCUCCAGGAUACAAGAGAUUUUUCAGGGAGGACUAAUGAUGAUGUCACUGAGAAUUGCCAUAGCCUACCUACUAAACAGCUUCCCUUGCAUUGACCAUAUUUGAGGGUGCCAUUUCCAGAAGUAUCUCCUGUGACACAGUGGAAACCUUUACAUACUAAUUCUCUCUAAAGGUCUCCAGUCUUUCCAAUUCUCCUCCAAAUGUGUUGGAGAAGACCCCUCUGGUCGAGGGGAGGUACAACAAGCCCCAUCAAACAAAAUGGUCUGCACAUCUUCUUCUCUUAAAGGGAUCUUGUGCCAUCUUUUGCUGCCAAAGAGACACCUAGAGCUACAACUACUCCUCAGGUGAGUCUCACACCUUCUCCAUCUGCCUAAAGGGACGUGGAAUUUUCAAAAAAUACUAAGGAAUUGUGGAAGGUUGCCAAUCCUUACAAGGGCAUGCCAGACAUUCCUUAUUGUCCCAAGAUGCUCAAGUAACUCCUCCUUCAACUGAAAAGGCAUGUUCACCAUCUGCCCUAGGUUUCACGGAAUUUCUUCACCCCUCGCUAGUGCUCCAGAAAGUGUUCUCCAUGCUCAAAGUGA